CGCCCACCUCAGCCUCCCAAAGUGCUGGGAUUACAGGCGUGAGCCACUGCGCCCGGCCAUUAGCUGGCUUUUUAAUUCUAGCUGUUCUGGUAAGUGU
rnacentral:miRNA from 1 species